AUAAAAUAUCACUGCACCAUAAACGACUGUCACAGUUCUCUCGACCGUACAGGUUACCUGCCGGCUUGAUAUUAAAUCACUAUAAUACUAUAGGUAAAAAAGCGCGAAAAAAUUUGAAAUAUUGAAACUGCGUGCAAGCGUACGCGUAUAAAAACGUAACACAUCAUCUGCAGAAACGUCGGCCCCCGGAGGGUUCGCAGCAUUAUUUUAGACGAAAAGACUCGACGCGAAAAUAAAAACUAAAAAAAAAAAGAUCGAUAGAGGCGUGUGUUACAGCGUCGUCGUAGAAGUAAAAAAAAAACGCAUUAAUUGUUGGAUAAAAAAAAAAAAAAAAAAAAAAAAACUGAAAAAACCGCAUACAAUUAUUACGCUUUACGUGCAAAAAAUACGUCAGUCGUUUUAAUUAAAUUUCAUAGGCGUACGACUAUCACCAUUAUAUAUAUUUAUGUAUACGAAAAUAUGUCGUCGGGUAACGUGCUCCCUAUAUACGUGAAAAAAAAAUAAAAAUAAAAAAAUCAAUAACGUUGAUAAAACCCCGGGACUGCGAUCGUGGCGGCAGAGGAACGAACUAUAUAUAUAUAUAACAUUAUAUAUACGAUAGUAUUAUUGCUUUGAUCCGUGAUGCGCUGCGACGUUUUCGUCGUCACAAACACCACUGAAGACUAAAAUGUAUUUUUAUCUCCGAGUAUAUUUUUUGCUACACGGGGGACCCCGCGGAGGAG